rnacentral:rRNA from 1 species
UACGUAGGUGGCAAGCGUUGUUCGGAAUCACUGGGCUUAAAGGGCGCGUAGGCGGUUUGCCAAGUCAGGGGUGAAAUCCUGCAGCUCAACUGUAGAAGUGCCUUUGAUACUGGCGAACUCGAGGGAGGUAGGGGUGGGUGGAACUUCUGGUGGAGCGGUGAAAUGCGUUGAUAUCAGAAGGAACGCCGGUGGCGAAAGCGACCCACUGGAUCUCUACUGACGCUGAGGCGCGAAAGCUAGGGGAGCAAACGGG